rnacentral:misc_RNA from 1 species
AACGGUCUAUACCUGCGGUACCUGCGGAGGGAUCAUUAAAGAGAAAACUGCCCUUUGGGUAGAUCUCCCACCCUUUGUUUACCUUACCUUUGUUGCUUUGGCAGGCCCGUCUUCUGACCACCGGCUUUAGCUGGUCCGUGCCUGCCAGAGGACCCCAAACUCUUAAUUUUAAGUUGUCCGAGUCUUAUAAAAUAGUAAAAACUUUCAACAACGGAUCUCU